rfam:Brassica napus, WGS project CCCW01000000 data, contig: 14033
GGUUCCAUGGCCCAAUGGAUAAGGCGCUGGUCUACGAAACCAGAGAUUCUGAGUUCGAUCCUCAGUGGAAUCG